UGUUCCAGGCAUUGGGGUGGGCCACACAUGUGUCUAAACUCUGGAUGGUGAAGACUGUCUAUUUUAGGCAGAGUAAGAAGAAAUAGGGUCAAGACAACAUAGAAAAGAUCUAAAGAAAAUGAGAAAAUGCUUAACUCUUGGGUUUGAAAAUACUGAAUUGGUCUGUGAAAAUGUGUGUAUGUGUGUGCAUUUGCGUGUGUGUGUGUGUGUGUGUGUGCAUAGCAUGUCCCAUAAGUCUUGGUGAAGCUUUUCUAACUUCAGAAGUAUAAAUGCUACUAACAUAAAACACAUUACUUGGAGGUUUAAUUAUUUAUAUGUUUAUUAUACUUAUUUUAAAUAGUAAAUCCUUAGUUCGAAUUUUUGUGUCAGCCGUUCUGAGUGAAGAGAGCAAAGGC